rnacentral:rRNA from 1 species
CGUAGGAGGCGAGCGUUGUCCGGAAUCAUUGGGCGUAAAGAGCGCGCAGGCGGCUUGGCAAGUCGGGUGUGAAAUCCCCGGGGGCUCAACCCCGGGACUGCAUUCGAUACUGUCAGGCUAGAGGUAGGUAGGGGAGAUCGGAAUUCCUGGUGUAGCGGUGAAAUGCGCAGAUAUCAGGAGGACACCGGUGCGAAGCGGAUCUCUGGGCCUUACUGACGCUCAAGGCGCGAAAGCUAGGGGAGCGAACAGGAUU